rnacentral:tRNA from 1 species
GGGCCUGUAGCUCAGUGGCAGAGCGCCAAACUUAUAAUUUGGAUGUCCUUGGUUCGAUCCCAAGCAGGCCCA